AGGUGUGGAGCCUUGGGGGGAGCAGGUCGCUCACAUCCAGGAGGUGCUGGGCGAGGUGUGUGGCAGACCUCGGCGUGGGGAGCCGUAGCCCGGCAGUUGGGACGGGAGAGCGGAGCAGGCAUUGCAGGAAGUUUUGGAGAGGAGAAGCUGAGCGGCAACGAGGAGCCUGAGCAGGUACGGUGCGGGCCUUUCCCAGGCGAGGCUGAGGAUUUGAGGUGAAGUGGAAUGGAUGCCACGGGCAGCGUCACAGCCACAAUGCUGGAGCGUGGCUUUGGCACAGUACAGGUGAUAAAGGCAACUGUGGUGACUGAAGGGAGAUCAGCGCGGAUGCGGCUGCCAUUGAGGAUGGCUCUUGAGGAGCGAUGGUGAUGCCCAGCAUUUGAACAGUUAAGUUGAGGGGCAAAGGGUAUCAGGGGUGUCUUAACUCUGUGUGUGU